UACGUAGGGUGCAAGCGUUAAUCGGAAUUACUGGGCGUAAAGCGUGCGCAGGCGGUUAUGUAAGACAGAUGUGAAAUCCCCGGGCUCAACCUGGGAACUGCAUUUGUGAAUGCAUAGCUAGAGUACGGUAGAGGGGGAUGGAAUUCCGCGUGUAGCAGUGAAAUGCGUAGAUAUGCGGAGGAACACCGAUGGCGAAGGCAAUCCCCUGGACCUGUACUGACGCUCAUGCACGAAAGCGUGGGGAGCAAACAGG
rnacentral:rRNA from 1 species